rnacentral:rRNA from 1 species
CUGGCUCAGGACGAACGCUGGCGGCGUGCUUAACACAUGCAAGUCGAGCGAUGAAGCUUCCUUCGGGAAGUGGAUUAGCGGCGGACGGGUGAGUAACACGUGGGUAACCUGCCUCAAAGUGGGGGAUAGCCUUCCGAAAGGAAGAUUAAUACCGCAUAACAUAAGAGAAUCGCAUGAUUUUCUUAUCAAAGAUUUAUUGCUUUGAGAUGGACCCGCGGCGCAUUAGCUAGUUGGUAAGGUAACGGCUUACCAAGGCAACGAUGCGUAGCCGACCUGAGAGGGUGAUCGGCCACAUUGGAACUGAGACACGGUCCAGACUCCUACGGGAGGCAGCAGUGGGGAAUAUUGCGCAAUGGGGGGAACCCUGACGCAGCAACGCCGCGUGGGUGAUGAAGGUCUUCGGGUUGUAAAGCCCUGUUUUCUGGGACGAUAAUGACGGUACCAGAGGAGGAAGCCCCGGCUAAAUACGUGCCCGCAGCCGCGGUAAUACGUAGGUGGCCAGCGUUUUCCGGAUUUUCUGGGCGUAAAGGGUGCGUAGGCGGAUGUUUAAGUUGGAUGUGAAAUCCCCGGGCUUAACCUGGGGGCUGCAUUCCAAACUGGAUAUCUAGAGUGCAGGAGAGGAAAGCGGAAUUCCUAGUGUAGCGGUGAAAUGCGUAGAGAUUAGGAAGAACACCAGUGGCGAAGGCGGCUUUCUGGACUGUAACUGACGCUGAGGCACGAAAGCGUGGGGAGCAAACAGGAUUAGAUACCCUGGUAGUCCACGCCGUAAACGAUGGAUACUAGGUGUAGGGGGUAUCAACUCCNCCUGUGCCGCAGCUAACACAAUAAGUAUCCGCGUGGAGAGU